AACGAACGCUGGCGGCAGGCCUAACACAUGCAAGUCGAGCGAACCGCAAGGUUAGCGGCGGACGGGUUAGUAACGCGUGGGAACGUGCCCAAAGGUACGGAAUAGCCUCGGGAAACUGAGAGUAAUACCGUAUGUGCCCGAAAGGGGAAAGAUUUAUCGCCUUUGGAUCGGCCCGCGUUGGAUUAGGUAGUUGGUGGGGUAAUGGCCUACCAAGCCGACGAUCCAUAGCUGGUUUGAGAGGAUGAUCAGCAACACUGGGACUGAGACACGGCCCAGACUCCUACGGGAGGCAGCAGUGGGGAAUCUUAGACAAUGGGGGAAACCCUGAUCUAGCCAUGCCGCGUGAGCGAUGAAGGCCUUAGGGUUGUAAAGCUCUUUCACCGGGGAAGAUAAUGACGGUACCCGGAGAAGAAGCCCCGGCUAACUCCGUGCCAGCAGCCGCCGUAAAAC
rnacentral:rRNA from 1 species